rnacentral:rRNA from 1 species
CAUCGCCACCACACCACCCUGAACAUACGUACCUAAUCUCAUCUGAUUUUGGAAACUAAAGAGGGUUGUGCUUGGUUAGUAACUGGAUGGGAAACGACCAGAGAAUAGGAGGCAUUUUGUAGU